GAUGAACGCUGGCGGCGUGCCUAAUACAUGCAAGUCGAGCGAACGGACGAGAAGCUUGCUUCUCUGAUGUUAGCGGCGGACGGGUGAGUAACACGUGGAUAACCUACCUAUAAGACUGGGAUAACUUCGGGAAACCGGAGCUAAUACCGGAUAAUAUUUUGAACCGCAUGGUUCAAAAGUGAAAGACGGUCUUGCUGUCACUUAUAGAUGGGUCCGCGCUGCAUUAGCCAGUUGGUAAGGUAACGGCUUACCAAGGCAACGAUGCAUAGCCGACCUGAGAGGGUGAUCGGCCACACUGGAACUGAGACACGGUCCAGACUCCUACGGGAGGCAGCAGUAGGGAAUCUUCCGCAAAGGGCGAAAGCCUGACGGAGCAACGCCGCGUGAGUGAUGAAGGUCUUCGGAUCGUAAAACUCUGUUAUUAGGGAAGAACAUAUGUGUAAGUAACUGUGCACAUCUUGACGGUACCUAAUCAGAAAGCCACGGCUAACUACGUG
rnacentral:rRNA from 1 species